rnacentral:tRNA from 1 species
ACCUGGAUGUUGAAAUUGGUAGACAAGCACGACUCAGAAUCGUGUGCCGCGAGGUGUGUGGGUUCGAAUCCCAUUCCAGGUACCA